GUCUCGGUAGUGUAGGGGUUAAGAGCGCGGUCCCCGGAAAGGACAAGUACGGGUUCGAGUCCCGUACGAGACU
rnacentral:tRNA from 1 species